UACUUUGUUCUCCCUGUAUCUAACCUAAAAUCCUCUCCUGACUUCUUUCUCAAUUUGCAUGGUGUUUCUCCUGAAAUUAAAACUGAAUGAAGCAAAGCUGCCCCCUUUGGGCUCGUGGUCCAGAUUGCUCUACUUCCAAGCUCAAAGAGU
rnacentral:lncRNA from 1 species